UACGUAGGCAGCAAGCGUUGUUCGGAGUUACUGGGCGUAAAGGGUGUGUAGGCGGCUUUCUAAGUUUGGUGUGAAAUCUCCCGGCUCAACCGGGAGGGUGCGCCGAAAACUGGAGGGCUAGAGUGCGGGAUGGGAGAGUAGAAUUCCUGGUGUAGCGGUGAAAUGCGUAGAUAUCAGGAGGAAUACCGGUGGUGUAGACGGCUCUCUGGACCGCAACUGACGCUGAAACACGAAAGCGUGGGUAGCAAACAGG
rnacentral:rRNA from 1 species